GUGAGGAAUAUUGGUCAAUGGGCGGGAGCCUGAACCAGCCAAGUCGCGUGAAGGAAGAAGGAUCUAUGGUUCGUAAACUUCUUUUGCAGGGGAAUAAAGUGCAGGACGUGUCCUGUUUUGUAUGUACCCUGAGAAUAAGGAUCGGCUAACUCCGUGCCAGCAGCCGCGGUAAUACGGAGGAUCCGAGCGUUAUCCGGAUUUAUUGGGUUUAAAGGGUGCGUAGGUAGUUUGAUAAGUCAGCGGUGAAAGUUUGCAGCUUAACUGUAAAAAUGCCGUUGAAACUGUCGGACUUGAGUGUAAAUGAGGUAGGCGGAAUGCGUGGUGUAGCGGUGAAAUGCAUAGAUAUCACGCAGAACUCCGAUUGCGAAGGCAGCUUACUAAGCUACAACUGACACUGAAGCACGAAAGCGUGGGGAUCAAACAGGAUUAGAAACCCGGGUAGUCC
rnacentral:rRNA from 1 species